GCUAGAGAUAGGACCCACUCACUAAUCCAACUGGAUUAAAAAAUAAUUAAAUAUAUUUUUAAUAAUUAAAUAUUCAAAAAUUAAAAAAAUUAAAAAUUAAAAAAACUAAACAAAUAAAAAAGGCCUAGGACACGGGCCUUCCUUUCUUCCAUCUGCACCUUCUCUCUCUCUUCUCUUUGUCUUCUCCCGCAUCUCUCUCCCACUCUAAGUCCCUCUUCUCUCUACAACCACUAGUGCCGAGGAGGAGAGCAGCGGAGAGGGGGAGGAGAAGGGUCUGAAAGUGAAGAGAGUGGAGGUGGGAAGGAAAGGAGGGUUUUGACGGCUGAGAGGAGGAGGAAAUCGAGAGGUCGAGAGGAAGAGCGAUGUCGACGGCGAAUCAGACGGAGGAGAGAGGUCGGAGGAGGGACUGGGUGGAGAGAAGGUAGGAGGGUGAUGGGUGUGUAGGAGGGGAAGGGGAUCUGGGUGUGGGUUUGGUAUUUAUUUAUUUAUUUAUUUAUUUUUUGGUGUGGGAUUUGGGUGUGGGCUUGGUUUUGUUAGUUUCUUUAGUGGGGUGGUGAAGAUGGAGGAAGAGAGGCGGUGGUGGGGUGGUGAAGGAAGGUUGGGACAAAUUCGUAAGAAGAGGUAUGACAUUGUCAUUUUUAAAAGAUGAGGUAUGGAAGUGUCAUCAGACCAAUAGUUGAGGUAGUUUUUUGUAAUUUACCCUUCUUUUAGAUUGGAAAAGCAUGUGCUUGCUUAUGGUCAUGGAGAGGAGCCCGAAAGCAUGUUCAUUGUUCAUGGCAGCUAGCCGAUGCAGUUUUAGUUCCUAGCAUGAAUUCAACGUCAUGUGUAAAGCUGGAUACACAAAGUCUUCUGCUUCACCAAAAUUGAGCGUCUGAUGGAUUUCUCAAGUGCUCAAAACUUUAAAAUAUCCAAAUGUUCUAAUCCUGGUUGCUAUUCUUAUGAAUUUGUCUAGGAGAGUUUUCAUCAGUAGACCAUAGGCCAGAGGUUGAACACCUCUCCUCUCUGUUCACAUGGCUCACGGAAAUUUCAAAGAAUUAGAACCUCGUCAUGAAAAAGAUUCUGAAGCGGAACUAAAAGUUUCUUCAGCAGAAAAAACUGUCUCCAAAGCAAUUCUGGUUGAGCUCAUGGAUUCUCUCCUCCAUCUUGCACAGCUGACAGAGGACUGCUUUUUAGUUUCAUCACAUUUGGAUACUGCAGAAGAUGUUCUUCUAGUGUUCUUAUAAAUACAAAUUAUCUACAUUUAAAGCAAGAUGAAUCAUUAGUCAAGCGGCAAAGAAGCUAGAACUGAUUAAUGUCGCAAAAUGAAGAGCAAAGAAUUGAAGAAGACAGAUGCUGAUGUCGGAAAUACAAACAAAUGGGUUCUGCCCAAAUCAGGGAACCCGCGUCCGAUUGGAAUGUUGCCUCGAGCUGUUGGGUUUUCUGGCUGCCUUCCUGUUCUGGAUGUCAAUAAUGUCCCAGAAAAGGUUCCUGGAUUACUAGGAAGAAAAGAGAAGUGGGAACUGAAACAAUGUAGUGCCAUGAGACCUAUAAAACUCAAUUUUGGUCAAAAUAAUAUGUACAAGCAGUCGAGAGUGAGUAAGUAAUGUUUUUUACAUUUCAAUACACCGAAACAUGUUUGAACUUUCUCACCUUUCAAUGUAGCACUUCGGUUCCGUUAUCAAUGGCCAUUCAAAUCUA